UACGUAGGGGGCUAGCGUUGUCCGGAAUCAUUGGGCGUAAAGAGCGUGUAGGCGGCCCGGUAAGUCCGCUGUGAAAGUCGGGGGCUCAACCCUCGAAUGCCGGUGGAUACUGUCGAGCUAGAGUCCGGAAGAGGCGAGUGGAAUUCCUGGUGUAGCGGUGAAAUGCGCAGAUAUCAGGAGGAACACCAAUGGCGAAGGCAGCUCGCUGGGACGGUACUGACGCUGAGACGCGAAAGCGUGGGGAGCAAGCAGG
rnacentral:rRNA from 1 species